AGAGUUUGAUCCUGGCUCAGGACGAACGCUGGCGGCGUGCUUAACACAUGCAAGUCACGGGGGCUCGCAAGAGCAACCGGCGAACGGGUGCGUAACACGUGAGCAACCUACCUCGAUGUGGGGGAUAGCCGGCCCAACGGCCGGGUAAUACCGCAUACGAUCGUGACGGGGAGUCCCGUUACGAGGAAACCUCCGGGGCA
rnacentral:rRNA from 1 species